GGGGCGGGGGCAGGCUCUGCAGCCCCGGAGGAGGAGAAGGCGGAGGAGGAGGAAGGGGCUCCGCGGGCUGAGCCCGGGAGUGCGGGGCUGCCCCAGCGGGCUGGAGGCCUCCCCAGCAUCAUCAUCAGGAGCAGGAGGGCAGCGCGGCCUGAGGAGGGCAGGGGGCCCCGGGCCCCGUGGGGAGGGCUCCCGACCGCAGAGGGUUUGAGUGCGGCGGUGCCAGAGGAACCGCGGCUCAGCCGGCGCGGGCUGCUCAGCUGGGAGCCGCAGCAGGGGCGGGGGCUGAGGCCCAGCGUGCAGGAGCAGGGGGGCGUGAGCCCAGGGGUGCAGGAACAGGGCGGGGUGGGCGCGGGGGUGCAGGAGCAGGGUGCGCGCGGCGGCCGCAGGCCGAGCGCGAGGGGCAGCGCUGGCUCUGCGGGCGCCCCCCGGGAGUGCACGAGCCUGCUGCUUUGGGGCCGCUCCGGGAGCUGGCCGGCGGUACAGGAGGUGGGCUUGGGUCCUAGGAAGCAGCACCAGGAGAAAGGGGGAGGAAGCCCCGCAGUCCAGGAGCGCGGGGAGGCUAGAGCCGGGGUGCAGGAGCGGGGCGAAGGAGCAGGUCUGCAGAGACAGCCGGUGGAGCAGGAGGUCGGGGGCAGCCCCAGCGAGCAGGGAGAGUGGUUUAGGGGGAGCCCCGAGGAGCAAGCGGGGUGGUUCGAGGGGAGCUCUGAGGAGCAGGGGGUGCUGCUGGUGAGGAGCUCAGCCAAACAGGCAGGGCAGUUUGGGGGAAGGCCACCUGAGCGGCUCAGGGGGAGCUCCGGCAAACACAGAAGGGAGGAAGUGACCCAGCAUAUCUGGAGAGGGUUAGAACUGCUUGGGGGAGCCCGACUGGUAGGACCCGGAGGACCUGAAGGAGAAGGUCGGCUCGGGGUGCAGGAGGCAAAUUGGAGGCCGGGGGUGCAGGAGGGACAGGUGAGAUACUCUAUCCAGGAAACUUAUUUCGAGAGAAAAGGACACAAGGAGGGACAGGGCCUUCCCCAGGGUGCAGAGGCCACUCCGGAGGGGCAUAGGAUAAGGAGGCGGAGGAGGAGAAGGAGGUGGUGA
rnacentral:lncRNA from 1 species